rnacentral:piRNA from 1 species
UGAGCUAACGGAAGAAUCUUGUCUGGUUUG